rnacentral:rRNA from 1 species
CACCAGGUUGAUUCUGCCUGACGUAGACGCUAUUCCCUAAGAUUAACCCAUGCAUGUUUUUGACAUUUGAAAAAUGGACUGCUCAGUAAUACUCACUUUAUUUAAUGUACAUUUGAAAAUAACUACGUUAAAGUGUAGAUAAGAUGUGUACAGUAAGAGUGAGACCUAUCAGCUAGUUGUUAAGGUAAUGGCUUAACAAGGCAGUGACGGGUAACGGUAUUACUUUGUAAUAUUCCGGAGAAGGAGCCUGAGAGACGGCUACUAAGUCUAAGGAUUGCAGCAGGGGCGAAACUUGACCUAUGGAUUUUAUCUGAGGCAGUUAUGGGAAGUAAUAUUAUAUUGUUUCAUAUUGUAAAAGUAUAUGAGGUGAUUAAUUGGAGGGCAAAUCAAGUGCCAGCAGCCGCGGUAAUACUUGUUCCAAGAGUGUGUAUGAUGAUUGAUGCAGUUAAAAAGUCCGUAGUUUAUAUUUAAGAAGCAAUAUGAGGUGUACUGUAUAGUUGGGAGAGAGAUGAAAUGUGACGACCCUGACUGGACGAACAGAAGCGAAAGCUGUACACUUGUAUGUAUUUUUUGAACAAGGACGUAAGCUGGAGGAGCGAAGAUGAUUAGAUACCAUUGUAGUUCCAGCAGUAAACUAUGCCAACGAUGUGAUAUGAUAUUAAUUGUAUUACAUGAUAGAAAUUUGAGUUUUUUGGCUCUGGGGAUAGUAUGAUCGCAAGAUUGAAAAUUAAAGAAAUUGACGGAAGAAUACCACAAGGAGUGGAUUGUGCGGCUUAAUUUGACUCAACGCGAGGUAACUUACCAAUAUUUUAUUAUUCAGAGAAGAUAUAUUAUCUGAGGAUGAUAAUAGUGGUGCAUGGCCGUUUUCAAUGGAUGCUGUGAAGUUUUGAUUAAUUUCAACAAGACGUGAGACCCUUUUUUUAUAGACAGACACAAUCAGUGUAGGAAGGAAAGGAUUAAAACAGGUCCGUUAUGCCCUCAGACAUUUUGGGCUGCACGCGCAAUACAAUAGAUAUAUAAUCUUUAUGGGAUAAUAUUUUGUAAGAGAUAUUUGAACUUGGAAUUGCUAGUAAAUUUUAUUAAAUAAGUAGAAUUGAAUGUGUCCCUGUUCUUUGUACACACCGCCCGU